rnacentral:misc_RNA from 1 species
UUUCCGUAGGUGAACCUGCGGAAGGAUCAUUAAUGAGUUGUCAUGGGGUUCGAUGCUGGCAGCCAAUUUUUGGAUGCAUGUGCUUGCCCUAACAAUCAUCUUCCAAACACCUGUGCACAUUUUUGAGGAAGUCUUGAGCUGGUUGCCGCUCUUGGGUGAUUUUCUCACAUUCCCUUAAAUCAUUAUACGCUAUUAACAAUGUUGAACGUGCUCUGUGCCGCAAGGCUAUUAAUAUAAUACAACUUUUAACAACGGAUCUCUUGGCUCUC